UCCAGAGGGUGCGAGCGUUGUUCGGAAUUAUUGGGCGUAAAGGGCGCGUAGGCGGUGCGGUAAGUCACCUGUGAAAUCUCCUGGCUCAACUGGGAGCUUGCAGGCGAAACUGCCGUGCUGGAGUGUGGGAGAGGUGCGUGGAAUUCCUGGUGUAGCGGUGAAAUGCGUAGAUAUCGGGAGGAACACCAGUGGCGAAGGCGGCACGCUGGGCCGGUACUGACGCUGAGGAGCGAAAGCGUGGGGAGCGAACAGG
rnacentral:rRNA from 1 species